rnacentral:rRNA from 1 species
AGAGUUUGAUCAUGGCUCAGGACGAACGCUGGCGGCGUGCUUAAUACAUGCAAGUCGAGCGAGGUUACUGUUUUGGAUCCCUUCGGGGUGAAGAAGCUUUAACCUAGCGGCGGACGGGUGAGUAACGCGUGGGUAACCUACCCCAAAGUCCGGGAUAACAGCGGGAAACCGCUGCUAAUACCGGAUGUCUUUACCUUGGGGCAUCUUGAGGUAAAGAAAGGUAACGCUUUGGGAUGGGCCCGCGUCCCAUUAGCUAGUUGGUGAGGUAACGGCUCACCAAGGCGACGAUGGGUAGCCGGCCUGAGAGGGUGGACGGCCACACUGGGACUGAGACACGGCCCAGACUCCUACGGGAGGCAGCAGUAGGGAAUAUUGCGCAAUGGACGGAAGUCUGACGCAGCGACGCCGCGUGAGCGAUGAAGGUCUUCGGAUCGUAAAGCUCUGUCCUUGGGGAAGAAGGUCUUCGGACUUGACGGUACCCAAGAAGAAAGCCCCGGCUAACUACGUGCCAGCAGCCGCGGUAAU